CCAGGAUGCUCUCUGUUCUUCCAAUUCCUGUCCAUGAAGCCAGUGGGCUUCUCCAGAUCGCCUGGUAACCUGUCCCACCUCCAACAGAACGCAGCGUUGCUGCGUGGAAGGUGAGCCAUUAGCAUCGCCGUGAAGGCUGACAGCCAGCGCAGCAGCGAGGACGCAUCGGAAGUGGCAGCAGCAAUAUGCACCCCGACGAGAGGGGCCCAGCUUUGGAUCCUUCUCUUCUUCCAGAGCCUCAAGCCAAGAAUUAUGCCCACCGUCUCACAGUCGCCUGGAAUUGCCUUCUGAAGGGAACGUGGGGGAGCAGACGCA